AUUGAACGCUGGCGGCAUGCUUUACACAUGCAAGUCGAGCGGUAACAGGUUAAGCUGACGAGUGGCGAACGGGUGAGUAAUGCAUCGGAACGUGCCCGGUCGUGGGGGAUAACGCAGCGAAAGCUGCGCUAAUACCGCAUACGAUCUGAGGAUGAAAGCGGGGGACCGUAAGGCCUCGCGCGAUCGGAGCGGCCGAUGUCAGAUUAGGUAGUUGGUGGGGUAAAGGCUCACCAAGCCGACGAUCUGUAGCUGGUCUGAGAGGACGAUCAGCCACACUGGGACUGAGACACGGCCCAGACUCCUACGGGAGGCAGCAGUGGGGAAUUUUGGACAAUGGGCGCAAGCCUGAUCCAGCAAUGCCGCGUGCAGGAUGAAGGCCUUCGGGUUGUAAACUGCUUUUGUACGGAACGAAAAGACUCUGGUUAAUACCUGGGGUCCAUGACGGUACCGUAAGAAUAAGCACCGGCUAACUACGUGCCAGCCGCCGCAGUAAUAC
rnacentral:rRNA from 1 species